GACACCAUGGUGUAGUGGAAUCACAUCUGUCUAACACACAGAAGGACCCCAGAUCGAAACUGGGUGGCGUCA
rnacentral:tRNA from 1 species